rnacentral:lncRNA from 1 species
GUGACCACAGCCAUGGCUGCUGCGUGUGAACAGCCCACAGGUGACCAGCGCUGCUUCCUUCCCCUGCUUGUCCCCGGUGCCUCUGAGCAUGAGACUCGACAGCAUUCUCCCCAAAGCAAGCAGCAGUCAGUCCCGCCCUGGGCAUGCAGGCCUUGGGCCUGGCCACUCGUGUCUGUUCUCGCAGUGCAAGCUCCCGCCUCCCUUGGGUCGCACGCUGCUGGACUGUGGCGUCUCUGGGGCACAGGUGUGGACUUCCCAGGCCCAAAAGCCACAGAUGAGCAUUGGGUUGAAAGAGCGAGUCCCUGAGACCUGGGGAGGGGACCGAGGCCAUGGAGGAGGUGGGAAUGCAGAGUGCUACUGUGCUUAAUAAACUUUUGCUGCUU